AGCGAACGCUGGCGGCAGGCCUAAAACAUGCAAGUCGAACGGAUCCUUCGGGAUUAGUGGCGGACGGGUGAGUAACACGUGGGAACGUGCCUUUUGGUUCGGAACAACUCAGGGAAACUUGAGCUAAUACCGAAUGUGCCCUUCGGGAAAGAUUAUCGCCAUUAGAGCGGCCCGCGUCUGAUUAGCUAGUUGGUGAGGUAACGGCCCACCAAGGCGACGAUCAGUAGCUGGUCUGAGAGGANGAUCAGCCACACUGGGACUGAGACACGGCCCAGACUCCUACGGGAGGCAGCAGUUAGGAAUCUUGCGCAAUGGACGAAAGUCUGACGCAGCAACGCCGCGUGAGGGAUGACGGCC
rnacentral:rRNA from 1 species